rnacentral:hammerhead_ribozyme from 1 species
AUCCAACUGACCACGAGUCCCAAACAGGACGAAAUGCGCAUCCUGGAU